CCAAGCAUGGAAGCCUACAAAGGUUAAAUUG
rnacentral:piRNA from 1 species